GGGAUUGUGGCUCCGUGGCAGAGUGCUUGCCUUGCAAGUAUGAGGCACUAGGUUCAAUCCUCAGUACCA
rnacentral:tRNA from 1 species